ensembl:antisense Gm16212 predicted gene 16212
CUGGCUCCACUUUAGCUUCAAUUUCUUCGGGACCAUAAAAGCAGCGGAGUUUACCCCCUCUCAGAGCACAGUACAGCCUUCUCCAGCCAACCAGACCUUUUCCUGUUUGCUGGAAGGAAAAAAAAAAAAAGUCAAACAACUAUCAAUUAUCAAUUUCCAUCACAACCCCCUUAACUUUAACCCCAGCUCGGUAUUUACAUAAUCAGUGAAGGUUUUAGAACUUUAAAAACGGCCCGGAAUUAGCUAUGCAUCGGCUGUACAGUUAAGGCUGAGCACCUCAAACCCAAGAGCGGAGGAGACGCCUGGAGUUCUCAGAAGCAUUAAGCAAAAUGAAGAACACUAGAAGAUGUUGACUACCUGGUAAGAAUGCAGAUUUUUCUUUCCUUCUAAUGGAAUCUUUUAGCAAAAAAAAAAAAAAAAAAAAAAAAA